rnacentral:rRNA from 1 species
UACGAAGGGGGCUAGCGUUGCUCGGAAUCACUGGGCGUAAAGCGCACGUAGGCGGCUUUCUAAGUCAGAGGUGAAAUCCCGGAGCUCAACUCCGGAGCUGCCUUUGAUACUGGAAAGCUUGAGUUCGGGAGAGGUGAGUGGAACUGCGAGUGUAGAGGUGAAAUUCGUAGAUAUUCGCAAGAACACCAGUGGCGAAGGCGGCUUACUGGUCCGGUUCUGACGCUGAGGCGCGAAAGCGUGGGGAGCAAACAGG